rnacentral:rRNA from 1 species
AACGUAGGUUCCGAGCGUUAUCCGGAUUUACUGGGCGUAAAGCGCGUUCAGGCGGUUUGGCAAGUCGGGCAUGAAAUCUCUCGGCUCAACCGGGAGAGGUUGUCCGAUACUUCCAGACUUGAGGGCAGUAGAGGGUGGUGGAAUUCCGGGUGUAGUGGUGAAAUGCGCAGAUAUCAGGAAGAACACCUAUGGCGAAGGCAGCUCUCUGGGACGGUACUGACGCUGAGGCGCGAAAGCGUGGGGAGCGAACAGG